rnacentral:rRNA from 1 species
UCCUGGCUCAGGAUGAACGCUGGCGGCGUGCCUAAUACAUGCAAGUCGAGCGAACGGACGAGAAGCUUGCUUCUCUGAUGUUAGCGGCGGACGGGUGAGUAACACGUGGAUAACCUACCUAUAAGACUGGGAUAACUUCGGGAAACCGGAGCUAAUACCGGAUAAUAUUUUGAACCGCAUGGUUCAAAAGUGAAAGACGGUCUUGCUGUCACUUAUAGAUGGAUCCGCGCUGCAUUAGCUAGUUGGUAAGGUAACGGCUUACCAAGGCAACGAUGCAUAGCCGACCUGAGAGGGUGAUCGGCCACACUGGAACUGAGACACGGUCCAGACUCCUACGGGAGGCAGCAGUAGGGAAUCUUCCGCAAUGGGCGAAAGCCUGACGGAGCAACGCCGCGUGAGUGAUGAAGGUCUUCGGAUCGUAAAACUCUGUUAUUAGGGAAGAACAUAUGUGUAAGUAACUGUGCACAUCUGUGACGGUACCUAAUCAGAAAGCCACGGCUAACUACGUGCCAGCAG